UUUGCUGAGGAGGGGGUCUCCCCACCUAUCCACUUCCUCAGGGCUCCUUCCUGCUUCCCUAGCCCUUCCGUCCAGGCGCUCAUCAAUCUCACCCAAGGUGCUGAGCAUCCGGCAGGCCUUCUCAGGCCAUGACUCACUUCCUGUUUCCGGGAGCUGGAAAUAGGGCUCCCUCCCCAGGCAGCUGCUCAAAGUCUCCCCCAGCCUGUGCCCCCACCCAGGCCUGUGCGUUCACCACUAAUUACCCAAGUCUGUGUUCUGGUGGACGUGAAACCAGCCGGAAGAUCCUCUCAUCACUCAUUUAGGGCUGUAAUGCACCUACUGGGAGGGUCUGGCCAUGGGGCAGCAGCAAAGAACAGGACAGAUGAGGACCUGCCCCUGAGGCAUCUGCUGACGUUAAUUAAAUAAUUGUCUAACUCCGUGGGCCAGGAGCUCUGUGCAGGAUGGGGAAACAGAGGCUCAGAGGGAGAAGGGCUCUGACCAAGAUCCCCCCCAAGUUGGGAAUCGGCAAGGCAGGAUGUGAACAAGGAUCCCUGUGGUCCCACAGCCUCCCACGCUGUUCUGCUCAGGGACUGAAGUGGCUUUCUUCUGCCCAAGGCCCUCAGCUGAGGGGAUGGAGGUGUGAAAACUGAGACCCAAAGUGGUGAAGGGAUUCACUCUGGGUCACAUAGAUAGAAAGCAGAUAAGUGGGAUCUGAAGCCAGGUCCAAGGACCACAGGGCAACAACUCUACGGCCUUGACUGGGGUUCGCCUGCAUUCUCACUGGGCCCCACUCCUGGAGAAAAGAGAACAGCCAGACCUGGGUAAAAUUUCCAGCUCUUACUUGAACAACUUGAUGGCCUGGAGGAAGUCACUUUCCCUCUCUGAGCCCAGGCUUCACAGUC